rnacentral:rRNA from 1 species
CCUGCCUUGGAGUGGGGAAUAACAGCUGGAAACAGCUGCUAAUACCGCAUAAUGCAGUUGAGUCGCAUGGCUCUGACUGCCAAAGAUUUAUCGCUCUGAGAUGGACUCGCGUCUGAUUAGCUAGUUGGUGGGGCAACGGCCCACCAAGGCGACGAUCAGUAGCCGGACUGAGAGGUUGGCCGGCCACAUUGGGACUGAGACACGGCCCAGACUCCUACGGGAGGCAGCAG